rnacentral:rRNA from 1 species
GACGAACGCUGGCGGCGUACUUAACACAUGCAAGUCGAACGGAAGGGCCCUGCUUGCAGGGUACUCGAGUGGCGAACGGGUGAGUAACACGUGGGUGAUCUGCCCUGCACUUCGGGAUAAGCCUGGGAAACUGGGUCUAAUACCGGAUAGGAGCCAUUUUUAGUGUGAUGGUUGGAAAGUUUUUUCGGUGUAGGAUGAGCUCGCGGCCUAUCAACUUGUUGGUGGGGUAAUGGCCUACCAAGGCGGCGACGGGUAGCCGGCCUGAGAGGGUGGACGGCCACAUUGGGACUGAGAUACGGCCCAGACUCCUACGGGAGGCAGCGGUGGGGAAUAUUGCACAAUGGGCGCAAGCCUGAUGCAGCGACGCCGCGUGGGGGAUGACGGCCUUCGGGUUGUAAACUCCUUUCGCUAGGGACGAAGCUUUUUGUGACGGUACCUAGAUAAGAAGCACCGGCUAACUACGUG